AGGCAGACUGGAAAAGGGAGCUGCCUUGUGCCGUCCAGGAUGGUCUAACCGUGUGUCUCCUUCUGUACGAAGUAAGCAUUUCAUCUGACAGUGAUCAUAGAUUCCGAUAUUGCAUAAACGACCCAGAUGCAGAUCCACAUUACAUAGAGUUAGGAGACUACCACGAAAAUGGGGUGCAUAUCAUAGGGUCCAAGGUGGACUUCCAAAUUGGUACCGCGCAGCGCGCCGACCUGAUGCCCCAAAUUGGAGAUUACUACUGGUUGACUUUCGCUUUUGUGUCCGGCGACAAUUGUGCGACAUAUUUCAAAGAUGUAUAUCUGGACACUCGUAGUGUAACCCACUCAUGGCUGCAACGUUUUUACCAUCACUAU
rnacentral:lncRNA from 1 species